UACGUAGGGGGCAAGCGUUGUCCGGAUUUAUUGGGCGUAAAGAGCGUGUAGGCGGCCACACAGGUCUGCUGUGAAACUCGAGGCUACAACCUCGAGCUGUCCGGUGGAAACCGUGUGGCUAGAGUCCGGAAGAGGAGAGUGGAAUUCCCGGUGUGAGCGGUGAAUGACGCAGAUAUCGGGAAGAACACCCGUGGCGAAGGCGGCUCUCUGGGACGGUACUGACGCUGAGACGCGAAGGCGUGGGGAGCGAACAGG
rnacentral:rRNA from 1 species